GCGGAAAUAACUUAAUUGGUAAAGUACAACCUUGCCAAGGUUGUUAUUGAGGGUUCGAGUCCCUUUUUCCGCU
rnacentral:tRNA from 2 species